UGUGUUGACCCAGAGUGAAAUCUAAAACCUGCAGGACACCGGCCCUCGAGGCCUGGAGUUGCCCACCCCUGUUAUAGACAGAUCUUAAGAGCCUGUUUGAAACGGAUUGCUUACAGCGGACUGGAGGCAGGGCAGCACAAUAAUGGAUGUCUGAGGCUGGCAGUGCAGACUGGGGCGACGGGAGGCAGUGCUGGCAGUAAACAGCAGCCGCAGGGAAACGGUCAACUGGCACACCCCACAAAAAAUAGAUCAUUACAGAAGUCUUCAGUGAGCAGUAAAUGGAUCAACUGAGGAGCCAGAUGCAUUUCUAAUGUCUUCUGUCAGGUCUUUCCUGGAUUUCCCAUUUCUUAAG